rnacentral:tRNA from 1 species
GCGGGAGUGGCGGAAUGGCAGACGCGCCAGCCUUAGGAGCUGGUGCCUUCGGGCGUGGGGGUUCAAGUCCCCCCUCCCGCACAA